rnacentral:rRNA from 1 species
AGGGCAAGUCUGGUGCCAGCAGCCGCGGUAAUUCCAGCUCCAAUAGCGUAUAUUAAAGUUGUUGCAGUUAAAAAGCUCGUAGUUGAAUUUCGGGGUCAGCAGGUUGGUCGUGCCAAUGGUAUGCACUGGCCUUGCUGAUUCCUCCCUCUUGAUGAGCCGUAAUGCCAUUAAUUUGGUGUUGUGGGGAAUCAGGACUGCUACUUUGAAGAAAUUAGAGCGUUUAAAGCAGGCAAGCGCUUGAAUACAUUAGCAUGGAAUAAUGAAAUAGGACGUUCGAUCCUAUUUUGUUGGUUUCUAGGAUUGACGUAAUGAUUAAUAGGGAUAGUUGGGGGCAUUAGUAUUCAAUUGUCAGAGGUGAAAUUCUUGGAUUUAUUGAAGACUAACUACUGCGAAAGCAUUUGCCAAGGAUGUUUUCAUUAAUCAAGAACGAAAGUUAGGGGAUCGAAGACGAUCAGAUACCGUCGUAGUCUUAACCAUAAACUAUGCCGACUAGGGAUCGGAUGAUGUUAAUUUUUUAAUGACUCAUUCGGCGCCUUACGGGAA